GGGAUUUGAACGGAGGCACUCUAUCCUCAGAGUCCAAGCUUUAAAUGAUACUCAUGAUUGCCUUCCAACAGGAAGACUGGAUUCUGGUGAGCAGAGCAGGCAAAUUUUAGAGGAUUUAAAGAUGGUCUUGGUGCCCUGUGUUUUAGUGACAAGCACAUGGUGUGAACUCAGAAGCUAAGAGCUUUGCACACGUGGGCAGAUGAGCCGGCGAGAGCCAAGUCAAAUGAUGACGCAUUCAAUCAUACAUGCUGACUGAAUCUCUACCGUGUGCCAGGCACUAUUCUAGAUGCCAGGGAUGCCACAAUAACCAGGCAGUCAAGGUCACUGGUUUCAUGGUGGUUAAUUUCAGUGAGGAGAGAUAGACAACAAACAAACACAUAGAGGAACUAGAUCGUUCUGGCUAAAGAUGAGACCGGAAAGAACAAGGCCCUGGGUGAUAGAGGCUGGUGGUGGAGGUGGAAGGUAGAAGCAGAGAGAGGUGUUUUCAAUAGGGUUAUCUGAGAAGCUCUCUAAGAUGUGUUUUUUGAGCUGUGACCUGAAUGAGGAGGAAGAGCAGCCAUGCCAAGAGCUGAAGGAAAGGCAUUCAGGGUAGAGGGCACAGCAGAUGCAAAGGCCUUGAGUGUGGAAGCGAACAUGGCGUGUUUGAGGAAUGGAUCAAAGUAAUUUGAAAGUCUCAGGCUGCAUGGGACUGGUGGUCAGACUGGGUCCAG
rnacentral:lncRNA from 10 species